rnacentral:rRNA from 1 species
UGACCUCAAAUCAGGUAGGACUACCCGCUGAACUUAAGCAGAUCAAUAAGCGGAGGA